AGGAAAAGAAACCAACAGGGAUUGCCUCAGUAGCGGCGAGUGAAGCGGCAAGAGCUCAGAUUUGAAAUCGCAGCACCAUGCUGCGAGUUGUAGAUUGCAGGUGGGAGAGUCUGCGUAGGCCGGUGUCGAAGUCCCUUGGAACAGGGCGCCACUGAGGGUGAGAGCCCCGUGCGAUGCCACGCUCUACGUUUUGUACUCCCCUCUGACGAGUCGAGUUGUUUGGGAAUGCAGCUCUAAGUGGGUGGUAAAUUCCAUCUAAGGCUAAAUACUGGCGAGAGACCGAUAGCGAACAAGUACUGUGAAGGAAAGAUGAAAAGCACUUUGAAAAGAGAGUGAAACAGCACGUGAAAUUGUUGAAAGGGAAGGGUAUUGGGCCCGACAUGGGAAUCGCGCACCGCUGCUCCUUGUGGGCGGCGCUCUGGGCUUUUCCUGGGCCAGCAUCGGUUCUUGCUGCAGGAGAAGGGGCUGUGGAAUGUGGCUGCCGCGCUUUGCCGGGGCAGUGUUAUAGCCACUGGGCCAGAUGCUGCGUGUGGGGACCGAGGACUGCGGCCGCAAGGUCUCGGAUGCUGGCACAACGGCGCAAUACCGCCCGUC
rnacentral:rRNA from 1 species